ensembl:lncRNA
GGAGGAGAUCUGCUCCAGCUCAAUUCUGCAAAGCUGAGCUUUCCUUCGAAAGGCUUGGAAGUGGCGUGUUGUUUGUGGAAACUUCUGAAUACUGAAAAUGAGGGGCCUUUCGUAGCACCUCAGGACAAUCAUUUCAAGUUAGCAGUCAAGCCGCGUGGAAAAAACAGCCCCUCGGCUGUGCCUGCCGGAUCCUGUUGGCUCUGCUGAAGGCUCCAUUGGGGAAUGGUCCAUUCUCAGCUGAGAUGAGCAACGACCAUUGCAAGAGCAGAAAGCCAUGCUGGUAGCAGGAGGAGGAUGUGAAAUCACACUGGAGGACCUUGAGGCACUCACAGUCCCACUGGAGAGGGAAAUACUGAGCCACAAGGAUGGAAUCUCAGUGCCCUGAAGAAACUUGCUGGGGAUUGAAUUGAAGAGAUUAUUGUGAUGGCAAGAUGACCCAGUGAGGGACUUACAUCCAUACCUGCAAGGGAAGGAGGUGACCUCUGCCUGGAGAUGAGCUGCAGAGUGACAGAGUGUUGCAGCCCUGCAUCCAAGAAGGCUUCUUUCUGUGCACCGAUAGCAGCGAAACAAAGCACAAGGAUAAAUGGUUGAAGGGUUUCUUUGGUUAAAAUCUAGCAUUGUGGAAAACUUCUGCAUUGAAAGGAGGCCUUAAUGCCUUCUCUGUCCCCAUGGAAAGUGGGUAAAUUCCCUGGCAGAGGGAAACUGAGCUCCCUAUCUAGUGAUGUGGAUGAAAACCAACGUGGGGAGGCUGACUCCAGCCCUACAGAGUUUCCUUUGGCCUUUUGCUGAGGCUGCUAACAAGGGUAUGAGUUAGUAUAGUGAAUGGAAAGGAGUCCCUCUACGGACCCGCACAACUACUGUAUGCCAUCAGCCGUGGCUCAGCAAUAACUCUAUCAAAAAGAAAUAAUUUCCCGAUGGGGAACAGCUCCAUACCUGUUUUCUAGGUCUCAGGAUGGAUGUGCUGCCUCUCACCUGCACCUGAUGGCACCGACACAGCCCAGAAUCACAGUGUUGAGGCUUUGGUUAGAUAUGAAGCUGACAGACCCACAUCCUCAGCAUUGGGCAACUCGGUUUGCUGUGAGAUCAGUCUGUGAAGGAGCACACACAGAGCAGAGCAAGCCCAGGAGUUAAUGUUCCGUGUAGUGCAACACACCUUUAUUCAAACAAGAAUUGAAGGAACAGCGUUAUAAAGCCAUAAACAUCUUCAUUCAAUUAACAUAUUAAAUGAAAGGUUAAUUUAUUUGGGAUGUUAAAGUUUAAUUUUAGUCUAAUUGGGAUGUCGCGGUAUUUAAAAUGGC